rnacentral:rRNA from 1 species
CACGUAGGGCGCAAGCGUUGUCCGGAAUUAUUGGGCGUAAAGAGCUCGUAGGCGGUCUGUUGCGUCCGCUGUGAAAACUCGGGGCUUAACCCCGAGCCUGCAGUGGAUACGGGCAGACUAGAGGUAGGUAGGGGAGAAUGGAAUUCCCGGUGUAGCGGUGAAAUGCGCAGAUAUCGGGAGGAACACCGGUGGCGAAGGCGGUUCUCUGGGCAACUGCUGACACUGAGGCGCGACAGCGUGGGGAGCAAACAGG